CCUACGGGAGGCAGCAGUGAGGAAUAUUGGACAAUGGGCGAAAGCCUGAUCCAGCCAUGCCGCGUGCAGGAAGACUGCCCUAUGGGUUGUAAACUGCUAUUAUACGGGAAGAAACCCAUAUACGUGUAGAUGGCUGACGUACCGUAAGA
rnacentral:rRNA from 1 species